rnacentral:lncRNA from 1 species
CUGGUGUGAACGUGUCUAUUUCGCCAUUAGUUCUAACAACCAUAAACACCACAGGAGGAACAGGAGGGGUUGAACUCCGUCACACACACACAUCACAUAGCUGCAUUUACAGGAAACAGACACAGAAGGAAGACUGACACUGAGCCUAGAGUCACGUUCAGUUUCCAGCUCUGUACACACACACACACACACACAGAAGACAGAGAAGAAGAGGAGAGGAGUGGACAGGAGAGGAAGAUGGCGUCCAUCCCCUGUGCUCUGAUAGUGUUGCUGAUCUGCCUGAGUCAGGACCACAUGGGUGUCCAAGGAGAGACUCCCACUGUCUUCUCCAGUGUGGGUGGGGAUGCCACUCUUCCCUGCAGUAAUGUGGGUUAUCCAAACUGCUCUUCUACUACAUGGCUUGUUCGUAUAUCUGGACAAACUCUAGAAUUGUUUGCCAAUGGAAAGAUCAGACCUGAUGUAGCCACACACAGAGCUAAGAGACUGAGUCUGGUCUCUAACUGUUCUCUCCACAUUACUGAUGUCACCAAUGAGGAUGCUGGACUCUACACCUGUCAGCAGUACCUGAGAGAGGGUGGACCCAAACAUGGAGAGGAUGCUCCUGUCCAUCUGUCUGUUCUUCAGGGUAGGUGUUAUUGUUGUUGUUUUAUUUGUUGUUAUUUUCAGGCACUCAGGGGCUCAGUAACUGAAGUCAAAUGGAUACGUUGGAUAUAUUAAGUCUGUAUUAUAAUGUAUCCUUCAGUUUUUAACUGUUUUGUUUAAGGUUUUGUAUGUAACCUAUUCUUAAUGACAUACUCAAAUUCAUUUUCAUCUUAUAUGGUCAUGUGAAAG